AAAAGUUUAAUUAGUAAUUAGUAAUUUGCUUAAUUAGUGAUACCUUGUUUAUGAUAAUGCAAGCUAAGUCCUAAUCUAAUGAACUUUCACGUUUUCCUUAUUAUGUGGUUUAGGAACAUAUAUCACAUGCAUGCAGCUAUACUAGUUGUUUAGUUGUUUAAAAAAAAUUUAAAAAAUUUAAAAAAAUUUAACAUUUUCUAGUUAUUCUUGACGAUGUUAUCAGUAGAUGUUAUGUAAAGUAAACAUUUUUACUUGCGAUCAAUUUUAAAUUUUC
rnacentral:lncRNA from 1 species